UGGGGAAUAUUGCACAAUGGGCGAAAGCCUGAUGCAGCAACGCCGCGUGAGGGACGACGGCCUUCGGGUUGUAAACCUCUUUUAGUAGGGAAGAAGCGAAAGUGACGGUACCUGCAGAAAAAGCACCGGCUAACUACGUGCCAGCAGCCGCGGUAAUACGUAGGGUGCAAGCGUUGUCCGGAAUUAUUGGGCGUAAAGAGCUCGUAGGCGGUUUGUCGCGUCUGCUGUGAAAUCCGGAGGCUCAACCUCCGGCCUGCAGUGGGUACGGGCAGACUAGAGUGCGGUAGGGGAGAUUGGAAUUCCUGGUGUAGCGGUGGAAUGCGCAGAUAUCAGGAGGAACACCAAUGGCGAAGGCAGAUCUCUGGGCCGUAACUGACGCUGAGGAGCGAAAGCAUGGGGAGCGAACA
rnacentral:rRNA from 1 species